rnacentral:rRNA from 1 species
GUGGGGAAUCUUGCGCAAUGGGCGAAAGCCUGACGCAGCCAUGCCGCGUGAAUGAUGAAGGUCUUAGGAUUGUAAAAUUCUUUCACCGGGGACGAUAAUGACGGUACCCGGAGAAGAAGCUCCGGCUAACUUCGUGCCAGCAGCCGCGGUAAUACGAAGGGGGCUAGCGUUGCUCGGAAUUACUGGGCGUAAAGGGCGCGUAGGCGGACAGCUUAGUCAGAGGUGAAAGCCCAGGGCUCAACCUUGGAAUUGCCUUUGAUACUGGCUGUCUGGAGUUUGGGAGAGGUGAGUGGAACUCCGGGUGUAGAGGUGAAAUUCGUAGAUAUUCGGAAGAACACCAGUGGCGAAGGCGACUCACUGGCCCAAUACUGACGCUGAGGCGCGAAAGCGUGGGGAGCAAACAGGAUUAGAUACCCUGGUAGUCC